rnacentral:snRNA from 1 species
CAGUGUUACAGCCCUUUUAGAAUUUGUCUAGCAGGUUUCCAGUUCUCACCAGAAGACCCCC